UAUCAUGAAGGCCCCUAUCAUGAAGCCGUUGAAUCGUCUGUUCUGAACUCGAGCACCCACAUGAAGCGAUCGGUCAUGCAGUGCCAGAAUCUCACAGCUCCAGCAGCUCCAACGCCUGGAACGAGGCACGCGCCUACCUGAACCGACCGAUUCAACCAGUCUGUACGAUGGUUAUAGUGAAGAAAAAUACCAAAUACGCAUGCAGUGGAAGUGACUUCUUUCUACCACUCCAUCAACCGAGAGUCUUUUAUUUGAGUGACAAAGAAAAGAGAAAAACAGUUUAAACAUGGGCAUUGCAUGGCGGAAGUAUAUCAGAUGUGAAUCUUCCAUAUAGUGAAUCUUUGGUAUAUGUAGAAAACAUGUCCCAGAUGUCCUUCUUUCCAUGAAUGUAUUUCUGAGUUGUUUCCGCCAUUUAUUUUUGCAGGUUGCAUAAAUUUUGCAGGUUCCAAUUUGUUUUUGCAGGUUGCAUAAAUUUUACCAGAGUUUAGUAACUGGAUUAGAAUUUAACAGAGUUUUUUCGAGUGUGAAGAAUUUAACAUAGUGCAUAACAUGUUGGCAAGUGUGGCUCGCUACCUUAUCUUGAGAUUUUGUGUGGUAUUUAUUCAUUCCUUCCCAGGUUGCACAUGAUAUCUGAAGUGAUUAUUGCUAUACAUAGGAACGACAUUCCAACAUCUUACUAACGUGAUUUGAAUCAGUUUACCAGAUGCGGGAAAUGAAUAUCCAAUUAUGCGGUACUUUCAUAUUCAGUGUAUCUCAAUGGGUGACUUGAUGUCAUUAGCUUCCCUUCAGCCUAGCUUCUCGCUUUGAUUUUCAGACUAACGUUGCAGGAUCUAUGGCGCACACCGCAAUAAUCAUUUUCGUAGCUGCAGAACCAGACCCAAAGGUUAAAAUGAGCCUCUUAAUAUAUUAGUGCUUUGAUUAUUUUUGUUUUGGAAUUUUAACGGGGCUUCCCUCUCCAUCGGCGGUGAUACAAAACACUAGAUCGACGCACGAGGUUUUGAGGAAUGUGACCCUCUACCGGCAUGAGGUGUUUGGAUUUCCGGCGUUGAUCGCAUACUGGCGUUUAAACAGAUUGUUAAUUUGAUGCAUACGAUAGUAGAUGUUAGUUAAUUAGCAUGGCGGGCCAUUUUUUUGUGACUUUCUAACUGAGCAUACAGGUGUAAAUGGAACCUUUUACACUGUACAUGGACAUGUGAUGCAUCAUUAUUAAU